UACGUAGGGGGCGAGCGUUGUCCGGAUUUAUUGGGCGUAAAGAGCGUGUAGGCGGCCAGGUAGGUCUGCUGUGAAAACUCGAGGCUCAACCUCGAGACGUCGACGGAAACCAUCUGGCUAGAGUCCGGAAGAGGAGAGUGGAAUUCCUGGUGUAGCGGUGAAAUGCGUAGAGAUCAGGAGGAACACCCAUGGCGAAGGCAGCACGCUGGUCCGACCCUGACGCUGAGACGCGAAAGCGUGGGGAGCGAACGGG
rnacentral:rRNA from 1 species